rnacentral:lncRNA from 1 species
GGCUGCACAGGGUCCACUAUUGCAGCCUCCUUCGUUUCCUCAUCAAUGAGGAGGUACAUGUAGUUGUCAGUGAGCGCUGGGAGCACCUCCACCUUCAUGUUGGCUUGUGUGACUGUCUUUGACUUCCUCUGCUCGUGUUCCGUGUGCAGGAAGACAGCUCGCAGCUGUGCUGGACCUUCUGCUCCCCGCCCAGCGCCCGGGCCCGGGGAGGGGGGAGGCGGGUAGGCGGCCCCGC